rnacentral:lncRNA from 1 species
CUCGUAACUCGUGAACUUUUUGCUCAAAUAAUAGAUUGCUUGUUCCUUUUUGCCUGUGAUAUCAUGCUGUCCUAAAACACAACCAAAAGAAUUGUCCAUCACUGAUAGAUAUAGAAAUAAAGGCCUACCCGGUUCCGGUGGGACCAUCACAGGAGGAUUUGCCAAAUAUUCUUUAAUCUUAUCAAAUGAUUCUUGACAUUCGUCUGUCCAUU